rnacentral:rRNA from 1 species
ACCAGACUCCUACGGGAGGCAGCAGUGAGGAAUAUUGGUCAAUGGCCGAGAGGCUGAACCAGCCAAGUCGCGUGAGGGAUGAAGGCCCUACGGGUUGUAAACCUCUUUUGUCGGGGAGCAAAGAGAGUCACGUGUGGCUCAUUGAGAGUACCCGAAGAAAAAGCAUCGGCUAACUCCGUGCCAGCAGCCGCGGUAAUACGGAGGAUGCGAGCGUUAUCCGGAUUUAUUGGGUUUAAAGGGGGCGCAGGCGGAUUUUUAAACCACAGGUCAAAACGUUGGGCUCAACCCCAUCCAGCCGUUGAAACUGGGGACCUAGAGUGUGCGAGAGGUAUGCGGAAUGCGUGGU